rnacentral:lncRNA from 1 species
CUCUCCUGCCCUUAAAGAGACAGAGCAGCAGAGACAAGGCAAGGCGAUGACUUCACCCCAGUCUAGUAACUGCAAACAAAGCGAGCUGCGAGGGACUGUGAAAGCCUGGACAAGGGGCUUCAAGGAAGAGACCUCAAUUUAAAACAAAAACAAAAACCUGCUUGCUGCUGAGCUGGCCUGACUCCUCAGUAACUGGAACUCUUUGUUUUUUGAAUUUUUAUUGGGCUGAUCAGCAUGGAGGCCAGUGGGAGCAGGCUUGUGGUGGUGAGUGAUGUCUCAACAGGCUUGAUGCUGCCCAGCUGUCCACACCCGCCAUCACCCUCUCAAAGGUGGGGACAGCCACACACAGCAAGAGAUGUGAGCAAGGACUCAUAGAAGCCAGCUGCCGCCUUCAAGAAAACAUCCUUAUGUGGAGCUGUGCCUUGACUUGCUUAGGGGACCUCCUUCUUGGAAGCUUCCAAGAAACUACAAGUUGCCUUUGGUAGUAGACUGGAGCAGGUGAAGAACUGAAAUGAAGCAGUUAAAUCCAGGCCCUGGCGGUCGUCGUCCCCUCAGACCCAGCUCCCUGGAUCUUGAGACACUUUUGUGUGGAGCCACACCAGCCUCAUGUGCCACCGGCACAGGUCCUGAGGAAGCAGACCCAGCGUCGGCCAAAGGAAGGAAGUCUGACCAGAGAGGUGGAGCAUGGGAGGUGGAAAGUCUGGUGCUGGAAGAGGUGCUACGACAUGCAGACUGACGGUCUCUGGAAGCCAGCAGUCACGCUGACAUCUGUCCUGGCAGCUAAUGAACAGGCACUCGUUCGUUAACCAGUAGCCCUGCAGAGGUCAAGGAUGGUAACGCACUCUGUGACUAGCGUCAGUGGGAAGCCAUUAAUACAACUGGCCGUGAAGGGGCAAGAGAAGGAACAGUUAGCAGAACCCCCUGAGAGCUGUGGCCAGUGGAUGGGGCCACCUGACAGACGCGCUGAUUUGGGUACCAACAUUAGGUAGAAAGAAGUGGCUACAGCUGAACUGGCAUGGAUGGAACUGAGAGAGUGAAUAAUCUAACCGCUCUCUUCUUCCAUCUGACCUUUUGCGGGUGCCUUUCAUUGGCUAAGCCCAACCAGAAGUCAGAGGGCACAGGAAACCUGGAGAUGCCAUCUGUAGAGGGAAGCAGAUGGAAUUAACAGACACUGUGACUACUGCCCUAUUUAAGUGAGCACACAAGCCUGUGCGUCUAUUCCCAGAGAUGGCUGCAAGACUGUGAUGACGAAACAGAAAUACUACAUUUGCAAAUUCCCUGGCAAUAGUCCUCUUUAAUUUUAGAAAUUAUACUCACUUGCUUUUAAAGUUUCUAUUAAAAAGUUACAGAAAAAUGUGUUUAUCAGUAUCCUCCAUAAUGUUAUAUAAAUUCAAUGUCCUCUGAGGGAAAUAACAGAAGGGAUCGUGACAUUUCAUUGUCUGCCUCUGUUUCUGCUAUAGAUUCCUGCAUGACAAAUUACCCCCAAAC